rnacentral:rRNA from 1 species
GAAUCAGUGGCGAACGGGUGAGUAACACGUGGGCAACCUGCCCCCGGCUCUGGGAUAACUCCAAGAAAUUGGGGCUAAUACCGGAUGGUCACCGCAUCCCGCAUGGGAGGUGGUGGAAAGGAUUUCCGGCUGGGGAUGGGCCCGCGGCCUAUCAGCUUGUUGGUGGGGUAGUGGCCUACCAAGGCGACGACGGGUAGCCGGCCUGAGAGGGUGACCGGCCACACUGGGACUGAGACACGGCCCAGACUCCUACGGGAGGCAGCAGUGGGGAAUAUUGCGCAAUGGGCGGAAGCCUGACGCAGCGACGCCGCGUGGGGGAUGACGGCCUUCGGGUUGUAAACCUCUUUCAGCAGGGACGAAGCGCAAGUGACGGUACCUGCAGAAGAAGCACCGGCCAACUACGUGCCAGCAGCCGCGGUAAUACGUAGGGUGCAAGCGUUGUCCGGAAUUAUUGGGCGUAAAGAGCUCGUAGGCGGUUCGUCGCGUCGGCUGUGAAAACCCGGAGCUCAACUCCGGGCCUG